AGUCGAGCGGAUGACGGGAGCUUGCUCCUUGAUUCAGCGGCGGACGGGUGAGUAAUGCCUAGGAAUCUGCCUGGUAGUGGGGGACAACGUUUCGAAAGGAACGCUAAUACCGCAUACGUCCUACGGGAGAAAGCAGGGGACCUUCGGGCCUUGCGCUAUCAGAUGAGCCUAGGUCGGAUUAGCUAGUAGGUGAGGUAAUGGCUCACCUAGGCGACGAUCCGUAACUGGUCUGAGAGGAUGAUCAGUCACACUGGAACUGAGACACGGUCCAGACUCCUACGGGAGGCAGCAGUGGGGAAUAUUGGACAAUGGGCGAAAGCCUGAUCCAGCCAUGCCGCGUGUGUGAAGAAGGUCUUCGGAUUGUAAAGCACUUUAAGUUGGGAGGAAGGGCAGUAAGCUAAUACCUUGCUGUUUUGACGUUACCGACAGAAUAAGCACCGGCUAACUCUGUGCCAGCAGCCGCGGUAAUACAGAGGGUGCAAGCGUUAAUCGGAAUUACUGGGCGUAAAGCGCGCGUAGGUGGUUCGUUAAGUUGGAUGUGAAAGCCCCGGGCUCAACCUGGGAACUGCAUCCAAAACUGGCGAGCUAGAGUAUGGUAGAGGGUGGUGGAAUUUCCUGUGUAGCGGUGAAAUGCGUAGAUAUAGGAAGGAACACUAGUGGCGAACGCGACCACCUGGACUGAUACUGACACUGAGUGCGAAAGCGUGGGGAGCAAACAGGAUUAGA
rnacentral:rRNA from 1 species